rnacentral:tRNA from 1 species
CGCAGCGUGGCUCAGUGGAAAGAGCAUGGCUUUGGGAGCCAGAGGUCAUGGGUUCGAAUCCCAGCUCUGCCA